rnacentral:lncRNA from 1 species
CCUCCUGGACCCAUCCUUCGGCCCCAGAACCCUGGGGCCAACCCUCAGCUGCGAAGCCUCCUCCUCAACCCACCACCGCGCAGACUGGGGUGCCCCCACCCCAGGCCUCCCUCCACCACCUCCAGCCACCAGGGGCUCCUGCGCUGCUGCCUCCGCCGCACCAGGGCCUGGGGCAGCCCCAGUUGGGGCCCCCACUCCUGCAUCCACCACCUGCCCAGUCCUGGCCCGCACAACUUCCCCCUCGGGCUCCACUGCCAGGUAAGGGGACCCGGGGGAGGGCAGAGGUCUGGACUGAGUGUCCCAGCAGCUCCUGGGCUAGAGCACCAAGACCGAGUGCUCCUGGGAAGUAAAGACAUAGGAUCCAAGAAUGAGGGUUCCC